rnacentral:rRNA from 1 species
UGAGUAGGCGGUAAUAUAAGUCAGAUGUAAAAGGCACAGGCUUAACUUGUGUAAGCAUUUGAAACUGUAUUACUUGAGUGCAGGAGAGGUAAGUGGAAUUCCUAGUGUAGCGGUGAAAUGCGUAGAUAUUAGGAGGAACACCAGUGGCGAAGGCGACUUACUGGACUGUAACUGACGCUGAGUCACGAAAGCGUGGGUAGCAAACAGGAUUAGAUACCCUGGUAGUCCACGCUGUAAACGAUGAGUGCUAGGUGUUGGGUAGCGAUAUUCAGUGCCGAAGUUAACACAAUAAGCACUCCGCCUGGGGAGUACGGUCGCAAGACUGAA